rnacentral:rRNA from 1 species
ACUCCUACGGGAGGCAGCAGUGGGGAAUAUUGCACAAUGGGCGCAAGCCUGAUGCAGCCAUGCCGCGUGUAUGAAGAAGGCCUUCGGGUUGUAAAGUACUUUCAGCAGUGAGGAAGGGUGGUAUGUUAAUAGCAUACUUCAUUGACUGUAGCUGCAGAAGAAGCACCGGCUAACUCCGUGCCAGCAGCCGCGGUAAUACGGAGGGUGCGAGCGUUAAUCGGAAUUACUGGGCGU